GACACUGACUUAGCAACAUUGGCCCACUGGUUGGUGGUAUACCAUUUUCCCCGUGGCUGGAUUCUGGUUUUCCCUUCCUUUUUAUUUAAUAAGACUCAUGACUUAAAUAAAAGGUUAAAAAGUAGCAACUGGGUGGCCCUGAAACAGAGACUCCUGGCCCAGAGCUCCUGACCGGUGUCUUUUUGACAGCUUUCAAGCUGAGCCUCAAAUGUUGCAUCUCAUCAAACAUGGUUCCUUCCAGACCCAAUUUCUAAAUUCACACACCAGAUGAAGUGUUCUCCGCCUGGAGAUGAUCAGGAUGCGGACUCGGCCAAACGGGAGCAGCUUGCCUUCUAGGCCACAGACUUGCGGCCCACCUUGGAGGCUGAAACGAAGCUACUGUACUCGCAUCCCAGCCUCACCCAGAAGCAUGGGCUUUCCAGCCAUGGCUCCUGCAACCUGCUUUCUCCGACUGCCUCGCCGCACCCCUCUCUAAGAGCUGUGCUCUUCUGUGUGGCGAGGCUGGUGGAAAGUUGACCAUCCAAGCCAAGAGCCAACACAGCCAGUGCUGGAUAAAUGACUUGAAGUGCUUUCUCAAGGGACCCUUUCCAGGUACAGGAGCGCCUCGUAACCAGAUUCGGCCAGAGCUGGCAGACCGCCUUGUUCGGGAGCACAGUAAAAAUCAAACUACAGACACCGUUUAGAAAGCAUAGAAAGCCCAAUGCUAACAUCUUAUGUAUUGAAACACUGUUACAUAAAACUGACCACAAAGCCCCAAAUUCAUACUUUCCUACUUUGUGAGGCUGGUUACCACCAGGAAUAAACCCGUGGAAGUGUGAGGCUGACUGUGUAGCCUCAAGAGGCCUAAGCAUAAGGCCGAACCUCGUUCCAAACCUUGGGGGCGAGAUCAAUGCCCUGGCCCUUGAGAGCAGCCAGGCCUGCGGCAAGGUGAGGGAGCCGGAGCUGUGGUCUCACCACACGAGUCUGGGGGCAAACACCAGCCUGAGCCAGGGCAGACCCAAUAGUUGCUUCCGGGACCCCUUUCAUGUACCUCAUAAAGCCCCAGACACAUUGGCACAGUUCGCAGGAUUUAAUGAAGCGUAGGCCCUGCCUGGAGCCAAGGGGGCAUUAGGGACUCAGAAUGAGGCUCUUUCAUACCCAGAGAGAUGGUGAUGCCGGAGGCCAGACUUCUGCAAUAGCUUUCUGCUGAGAAACUCAUCAUGGAACUCUUCUGGUUUUCCUCAGCAUGUCGGUGACAUCCACAGCAGGUCCUCCCCAUCUCUGUUUUGAAGCCGAACCCAGAAUAGUUCAGACAACCCCGGGACUAGAACUGGAACGCGAACCUCCUGAGUCUGCGUGGGAGGGCAGACAGUGGGCGUUUACACCAGGCUGAGCUCCCUGCUUUGCCUCAUCCAGUCUGUACAAGUUCGCCUCGGAGAAACUCCCCAUGAUACUUCUCACCCAAGGCACCCUAGAUGCAGACAGCUUAAGGUGGCGUGAACCUCUACAUCCAGAAAUCAGCAAAGCAAGAGAAGAGGCACUACAAGAACUGUGACUCUGCUCCUGCCGAGACCUCAACGACUCCAGACAGCAAAUACAGAAAUGGUCUCUUCUCCGAAGAUGGCCUGGAGUCAGGAGAAAGAGGUGCUUGGAAGUCAGGCCCUCCCAUAUUUCAGCACCGGUGCUGCUAUGUCCCACUGUGAAAACUCGAGUUCCAAGCCCUCCACACUUCCUGCUAGCAAGUGGAGCUGAGGAUACACAAGAAAUAGACGAAUUCGUCUGGAAGGAGUGCGGUCAAGAUCUUGGCAUCUAGAGUGGAGACCAUAAGAACCACCCGAAUGUGGGAAUGGCUUUGGCACAGAGUAUGGGUGGAAACUGGAGGAGCGGAGAGGAUUCUGAGGGAAGCUUUAGUGAAAUGUGGAAGUUCAGUGAGCACAUGGUUUAUAUGACAGAAACAGAGAGCUUCAUAGCCACUGGAAAUCAGCUGGGAAGAAAGGUCGCCGGUGAGCUGAGUGGCCCAGCGGAGAAUAUGGCAGCCAGGGUUAAGUGUUAACCAGCUUCUUCCUAGGGACAAUAACCAAUACAGUGUAUUUCAGUUCUCUUGUAGUUAUAACCAAAUACUUGACACACAUCCUAAAGGGAACGCACAUAUUUUAUGUCUUCACGAACUUCCACCCAUCCAUAGCUCCAUUGACUCUAAGCCCUUAGUGAAGCAGAGCAGCGCUGUGGUAGACAAGGUGGCUGUUCACUUCACGGUGGACAGGAAGCAGAGAGAAAGACAAACUUGGAACCAGGUAUAGCCUUCAAAGUCGGGCCCUAGUGACCACAUCUCCCAAAACCAUGUCAUCUGCUGAGGACAAAGUAUUUUAGAGGCGAGCCCGUGAGGGACAAUUCGAUCUCGAACCACACCAGACUGGUAUGUGAUAGACUUGAGUGAUGGCUGUUCUUGGUUGUCAGCUCUAGUACAUCUGGAAUUAACCAAAACCCAAAUGGCUAGGCACUCCUGGGAGGGAUUUUUUUUUCUUAAUUAAAUCAAGUGGGAAGACAAAAUCCUAAUUCAAAUCUUUGAGGCGGGAAGACCCAUCUUUAACCUGGGCCACAUCUUCUGCUGUCAGCCUACAUAAACAUGAAGAAGUAAACACUCACUCUCUGCUUGUUCUCCCCUUGCUGGCCAGUCUAUUCCUUCACUGCCAUUAGAGCCUACUUCUUCACAAGUCCAGUAUCUGCUGAAGACCGGCUGAAACUCCAGCUUCCUGGACUGGACAAUUACCAGAUUCUUGUACCUUCCAUUGGUGGACAGCCAUUGUUGGACUAGCUGGACCACAGCCUGUAAACCAUUCUAAUAAAUCCCCUUAAUAUAUAUUUUAUAUGUUGGUUUAUAUACAUAAGCAUAUAUAUUAACAUUCAUAUAUCAUGUCAUAUAUAUAUAAUAAAUAUAUAUUCAUUCUA